rnacentral:rRNA from 1 species
ACUCAAAUGAAUUGACGGGGGCCCGCACAAGCGGCGGAGCGUGCGGUUUAAUUCGACGCAACGCGCAGAACCUUACCCGGGCUUGACAUGCGUCUGCAGAGCCGGGAAACCGGUUGGCCUUCGAGGGUGACGCACAGGUGCUGCAUGGCUGUCGUCAGCUCGUGUCGUGAGAUGUUGGGUUAAGUCCCGCAACGAGCGCAACCCCCGCGGCCAGUUGCCGAUGUUUCUGGCCGGACUGCCGGUAGCAAGCCGGAGGAAGGUGGGGAUGAUGUCAAGUCAGCAUGGCCCUUACGUCCGGGGCGACACGCACGCUACAAUGGGCCGGACAGUGGGUUGCCAAGGCGCAAGCCGGAGCCAAUCCCCCAAACCGGUUCUCAGUUCGGAUUGCGGGCUGCAACUCGCCCGCAUGAAGCUGGAGUCGCUAGUAACCGCAGGUCAGCACUACUGCGGUGAAUACGUUCCCGGGCCUUGUACACACCGCCCGU